AACGAACGCUGGCGGCAGGCUUAACACAUGCAAGUCGAACGCAUCCUUCGGGGUGAGUGGCAGACGGGUGAGUAACGCGUGGGAACGUGCCCUUCAGUUCGGGCUAACCCAGGGAAACUUGGGCUAAUACCGGAUACGUGCGAGAGCAGAAAGAUUUAUCGCUGAAGGGUCCGCCCGCGUCUGAUUAGCUAGUUGGUGGGGUAAUGGCCCACCAAGGCGACGAUCAGUAGCUGGUCUGAGAGGAUGAUCAGCCACAUUGGGACUGAGACACGGCCCAAACUCCUACGGGAGGCAGCAGUGGGGAAUAUUGGACAAUGGGCGCAAGCCUGAUCCAGCCAUGCUGCGUGAGUUAUGAAGGCCUUAGGGUUGUAAAGCUCUUUCGUCCGGGACGAUAAUGACGGUACCGGAAGAAGAAGCCCCGGCUAACUUCGUGCCAGCAGCCGCGGUAA
rnacentral:rRNA from 1 species